AAAUUGAAGAGUUUGAUCAUGGCUCAGAUUGAACGCUGGCGGCAGGCCUAACACAUGCAAGUCGAACGGUAACAGGAAGCAGCUUGCUGCUUUGCUGACGAGUGGCGGACGGGUGAGUAAUGUCUGGGAAACUGCCUGAUGGAGGGGGAUAACUACUGGAAACGGUGGCUAAUACCGCAUAACGUCGCAAGACCAAAGAGGGGGACCUUCGGGCCUCUUGCCAUCAGAUGUGCCCAGAUGGGAUUAGCUAGUUGGUGAGGUAACGGCUCACCAAGGCGACGAUCCCUAGCUGGUCUGAGAGGAUGACCAGCCACACUGGAACUGAGACACGGUCCAGACUCCUACGGGAGGCAGCAGUGGGGAAUAUUGCACAAUGGGCGCAAGCCUGAUGCAGCCAUGCCGCGUGUAUGAAGAAGGCCUUCGGGUUGUAAAGUACUUUCAGCGGGGAGGAAGGUGUUGCGGUUAAUAACCGCAGCAAUUGACGUUACCCGCAGAAGAAGCACCGGCUAACUCCGUGCCAGCAGCCGCGGUAAUACGGAGGGUGCAAGCGUUAAUCGGAAUUACUGGGCGUAAAGCGCACGCAGGCGGUCUGUCAAGUCGGAUGUGAAAUCCCCGGGCUCAACCUGGGAACUGCAUUCGAAACUGGCAGGCUUGAGUCUUGUAGAGGGGGGUAGAAUUCCAGGUGUAGCGGUGAAAUGCGUAGAGAUCUGGAGGAAUACCGGUGGCGAAGGCGGCCCCCUGGACAAAGACUGACGCUCAGGUGCGAAAGCGUGGGGAGCAAACAGGAUUAGAUACCCUGGUAGUCCACGCCGUAAACGAUGUCUACUUGGAGGUUGUGCCCUUGAGGCGUGGCUUCCGGAGCUAACGCGUUAAGUAGACCGCCUGGGGAGUACGGCCGCAAGGUUAAAACUCAAAUGAAUUGACGGGGGCCCGCACAAGCGGUGGAGCAUGUGGUUUAAUUCGAUGCAACGCGAAGAACCUUACCUGGUCUUGACAUCCACGGAAGUUUUCAGAGAUGAGAAUGUGCCUUCGGGAACCGUGAGACAGGUGCUGCAUGGCUGUCGUCAGCUCGUGUUGUGAAAUGUUGGGUUAAGUCCCGCAACGAGCGCAACCCUUAUCCUUUGUUGCCAGCGAUUAGGUCGGGAACUCAAAGGAGACUGCCAGUGAUAAACUGGAGGAAGGUGGGGAUGACGUCAAGUCAUCAUGGCCCUUACGACCAGGGCUACACACGUGCUACAAUGGCGCAUACAAAGAGAAGCGACCUCGCGAGAGCAAGCGGACCUCAUAAAGUGCGUCGUAGUCCGGAUUGGAGUCUGCAACUCGACUCCAUGAAGUCGGAAUCGCUAGUAAUCGUGGAUCAGAAUGCCACGGUGAAUACGUUCCCGGGCCUUGUACACACCGCCCGUCACACCAUGGGAGUGGGUUGCAAAAGAAGUAGGUAGCUUAACCUUCGGGAGGGCGCUUACCACUUUGUGAUUCAUGACUGGGGUGAAGUCGUAACAAGGUAACCGUAGGGGAACCUGCGGUUGGAUCACCUCCUUA
rnacentral:rRNA from 1 species